AGACAUGUCAGGGGUACGGGGCCUGUCGCGGUUGCCAAGCGCUCGGCGCUUGGCGCUGGCCAAGGCGUGGCCAACAGUGUUGCAAACAGGAACCCGAGGUGUUCACUUCACUGUUGAAGGAACGAGAGGGCAUCUGCUGAAGUUUCAGAUUCCAUUUCUGCUCAGUAGUGGAUCAUGAAUUUGAUGCAGUGAUGGUAGGCGCUAGAAGGGCAGGCUUGCGAGCUGCAUUUGGCCUUUCCGAGGCAGAGUUUGAUACAGCAUGUGUUACCAAGCUGUUUCCUACCAGGUCACACACUGUUGCAGCGCAGGUAGAAAAUUAUGGCAUGCCGUUUAGCAGAACUGAAGAUGGGAAGAUUUAUCAGCGUGCAUUUGGCAGACAGAGCCUCAAGUUUGGAAAGGGCGGGCAGGCCCAUCGGUGCUGCUGUGUGGCUGAUCGGACCGGCCACUCAAUAUUGCACACCUCAUAUGGGAGGGUAAGGCCGCCCUACGUCCACCUGAGACAGGACACGUA
rnacentral:lncRNA from 1 species